AUUGAACGCUGGCGGCAGGCCUAACACAUGCAAGUCGAGCGAGAGGCGGACGGGGGAGUGUGGUAUGGGGAAUGCCCGAUAGAGGGGGAUAACUCCUGGAAAAGGUAGCCAAAAUCGCAUACUCUCGCAUCAGCCAUAUGGGAUUAGCUCGUAGGUGGGGAAAUGGCUCACCAAGGCGACGAUCCCUAUCUGGUCUGAGAGGAUGAUCAGCAACACUGGAACUGAGACACGGCCCAGACUCCUACGGAGGCAGCAGUGGGGAAUAUUGCACAAUGGGCGCAAGCCUGAUGCAGCCAUGCCGCGUGUAUGAAGAAGGCCCUAGGGUUGUAAAGUACUGUCAGUCGGGAGGCGUUACCGACAGAAGAAGCACCGGCUAACUCCGUGCCAGCUGCCGCGGUAAUAC
rnacentral:rRNA from 1 species